CUGAGUAGCUGGCAUGAAGCACCUUUAAAAGGUCAUCUCCAAAGUCCCUUCAGUAGAUCUACUAAAGACUGAAGCUUAAUAAGCCAGAUUAAGGAUCUGAAUCCGUUUUUCACUUGGACAGUACUCGGAAGAUUCUCCCCUUUGAUCUUGGGUGAGAUUUCUACGUGUCUGUACAUGGCAGUGUUGCACAAGCAUGUGCCACAGGGGCCCUGCAGACCCUGCCCUGCUUCAUGGCCUCGGCACGCCUGGGGGCACUGCUCUCCUGCGUGGUGGAGGGGAAUGGCCUGCAGUGGGGCUGGGGGUACAGGAGGGUUAGAUUUGGCACGUGUCCUUCUGGUUUAGAGCACCCGUUUUGGGAGGCACAUCUGAGCGUUUGGUCUUCAGCUGUGUUCUCGACCUAGAACUGCCCCUGGGAUCUUGGCAGUGUUGCUCAGGGUCUGUGGAACUGACAUGUUGCAUGUUGAGAAGGCCCCAGGAGGUUUCCUUACCUGGGUCCUUCAGCUUCUUUAAUAUCUGUGUUGAGAAAAGGCCUGUUGGUGGAAGAGGAGAAGGGACUGUUAACUAGAGGCGUGGGGAGGAAGACUGAGUGAGAGCAGAACCAUGCGGCUUCUGCAGAGUGAGUCUUGGGGCCAUUCUGGUGCAUUGGAACCUCGUGCUCUGUGGACCUAAGAACCUCCUGGGCGCGCUUGCUAGCCAGGACCAGAACCUCCAGAUGCUGCUGGGAGUUCAUGUUCUCACGUGAUCCCUGUCCCUGGGUAAUGGCCCUGUGCAUGUCCACUUGAGCAGCACUGCCCCUGGCCAUCUGUGGUUCCUCAGUACUCAGAAAGAUUGUCAGACCACAGCCUGAGGAUUCCAAAGUCCAGGGGCAUGUCUGAUGUGUGAGGAGAAAAGUUCUGUCUCAAGCAGCUAAAUAAAUACUUGGUUCCUCGAGGCAGAGGGAUACCUGUUGGCCAUCUGUUGCUUGUGGGUGGGGAAGGGAGGGGAAAAGAAAACUGGUUAUGAUACAGGGAAGAGCACUGAGCACAGUGGUGGAAACAUCCCACUUACGGAGUUGAACAGUCUAGGAGUCAGGUGUCUCCUGCUUGCUUUUCUGUGUGCAGAUGAGCGCUAAGGCCCAGGGGUGAAGUGACCUGCCUAAGGCUCCCCAGCAAGCUGGAAUCCAAAUUGGGUGCACUGAAAACAAGCCCAGAAGGAAGAUGGCUUUGGAGCUGGGCCUACAGAUCCUGGGACCUAACCUUCCUGAGCCAGGCGGUGGGUCAAAGCCCACGAAGGGGUGAGGCACUCGGCAGUGAGCAAGGGGAGUUCACCAAGGCUCCACAGACGGACAGACAGACUAGUCUGGACAGCACUAUGGCACUAGUUUUGGUUCCUUCACCUGAACAUUCAAGACCUGGACCCAUCAGGUGGGGGUGAGCAUGCGUGGAGUCGGUUUCCACAGCUGACCAGUGCCUGUCCCAGCACUGCUUGGAAAAAUGGCUGCCUGGCAGGUAGCUUCCCACAGGUAUCUCCACCUGGAGUGCGCCAGACGAAGCUCUGUCGUCCUCUGGGUCAGCUUCCUGUGGCUAAUGGAACACCUGAGCCGAGUGGAGGUAAGCUCACUUCCUCUGUGCCUACUGGUGGAGGUAAUGGCCUGUCCUGACAUGGGGGACAUGGGGUAGGUCUGAGGCCUCCUGCAGAGACUGAUAUUUUCUGCACCAGAGUGAAAAAUAAAGGAUUUUAUUGCAGAUCUUGAGAUGCAUUCACAAGGGUGUGACAUGGCCAGACUUGGAAGCAGGGAAGGCACAGUGUGUGGGGGGGGGGUGGGAAGAGGGGCACGGGGUGCUCACUACACUAGUGCACCUGCUGGAAAACCACUCAACUGUGUGAAAAAUGACAGUA